rnacentral:tRNA from 1 species
GCCUACUUAGCUCAGUUGGCCAGAGCAUCUGUUUCAUACGCUGAAAGUCACUAGUUCGAAUCUAGUAGUAGGCA